UUCCGUAGGGUGACCUGCGGAAGGAUCAUUAC
rnacentral:rRNA from 1 species